AGGUACUCGAGUGGCGAACGGGUGAGUAACACGUUGGUGAUCUGCCCUGCACUCUGGGAUAAGCCUGGGAAACUGGGUCUAAUACCGGAUAGGACCGCACUUUAGUGUGUGUGGUGGAAAGUUUUUUCGGUUGUAGGAUGAGCCCGCGGCCUAUCAGCUUGUUGGUGGGGUAAUGGCCUACCAAGGCGGCGACGGGUAGCCGGACUGAGAGGUUGGUCGGCCACAUUGGGACUGAGAUACGGCCCAG
rnacentral:rRNA from 1 species